GAAGGGACAAAGGAAGAAAGGCGAAGGGAAGAGGAAAGGAUUUUUGAAAAUGGCUUUUAGCUGUUUAAUGACAUUUUAUAGUCUACUGUCGAUCUGAAAGCCCCUUCAGAGGGCUCUGUGGGUCGCUCCAUCAAUCCCCACUUUUCCCAUCAGAGUUGAUAAAGACGAAUGGCAACAGACAUGAAAUAUGGGAGAAGAGAUGCUAAAGAUGCGAACAGUUGAUUGCUGAAAUCCUGCCAGAAAUGAUCCACAUGCGAAUUUAUCCCAGUCUCCAUUUCUCUGGAGGGAAAUACAAACUAAGAUGAAAGAUCACUGAGAACACCGGCUUCAAGGCCACUCCACAUAUGAGAGUGGGCGUCUGUUGUUCCUGGAUGUCAAUGUGGACUGGAGUAGCAGACAUCAAGAUGAAUCUCUUUCCCAUCAUUCAAGUACCUUCCUAACAAGAUUAAGGAAAGCUGCUAUGGGAGAUGGACCCUUCUCCCCGACAUCUAUCUAUCCAAUCAGAUUGAAAUGUUCUGGACAUCUACUCUUUGACCAAGAGAAUGAGUUUUUGCUGAGAAAGAAGCCUAAUGAGAAGAGUGGGAAGGUCACUUCUGCUUUACUGGUGGAUUUGGACUGUCUCCAUGCUUCAGCCGGGCUCUCCUGUGGUCACGUUUACUUCUUGCUGUGACUGAAAUAUCCCAAAGAACAACCUCAAGGAGAAAGGACUUAUUUGGGUUCACAGUUUCAGAGCAUUCAGUCCGUGGUUGUCUGACCCCAUGUGUUUGGGACGAACAUCAAGGGAUGGUUAGAGUUCUGGGAGCACAGGGGAAAGUUGUUGACCUUGUAAACAGGGAGCAGAGAGUAAGACAAGAAUGGGGUAGGGAUGGGGCAUGGGAUAGGGCCAGGGAAAAUGCAACCAUGCUGCAAAUGGCCUACUUUCUUCAUCUAAGCCCCACAUCCUUAAGUUUUCAUAACAUCACCAAAUAAUGUCAGCAAAUGGGGACCAAGCAUUAGACACAUGUACCUGUGUGGGACUUUACAUAUGUAAACCAUAUCCAACCCUGUCAGACAUAUGGGUAAUAUACCUCACAGGAGCAUCUAUUUUUAUGUAUGAUUGUCUUUAAGGCUCCAGUUAGGACCUAUUGAGAUUUUCUUACUCUCCUCCCUUAUAGAUAGAAUUAUGCAAUCAUCCCAUGCCCCGUCCUCAUGAGCAACAUCAGGCAUUCCUUACGAAGUUGGUCUAUAAAUCAAAAGCCUGGCAACGGUUUUAGGGAUUUCCUAGAUAGCUUGUUGGGCCAGGCAGGAGGUUCAGCAGUCCAUCCUCCACGAGCUUCUCUUGGUUAUUUCAAAGAGACUUCAGUGCUGAUGGUGAAAUGUCUGUGAGAAUUUUCUAUGUGUAAGGCACACUCUUCAGAAUCAUAAAGGGACAUAGAGAAGGACAACGAAAGCCCUUGACUUCAGCACAUUAUGACCAGGAAUCCAGGUCACAAACAUGAAAUUAAACAAUGAACUAAGGGUCUUGUAUGAACACAAAGAACAAAGUCCCAGAGAUGUUCCAGAGCAGGGUGUAGUUAAGAAUUGGGUUAACUCAACAUACCUAACCUUUUCUAGGAAAAUGAAGGCAUCUACUACCGUCUUACACAGCCUUUGUAUUCAUUCUCUCUCAAAGGCAAAGCCAGAUUUUAUGUCCCACCCUAUGGAAUUCAUGAUUUGUUUUGCAGCCAAAAACACAGAAACAGAGCAGUGCUUAUUAUUUUAUUUAUCCAAAGAGUUGAUGCAACUAGAUUAGAUAGUUUAAUUUCCCAGGAAAAGUUUCACUGAGUCACUGAGCCAUAUAGAGCAGCACACUGCUGCAUGUCUAAAGAAGUCCAGAAACAACAUGUGGUGGCAAAAUCAUAAAAUAAAAUAAAAUAAAAAUAAUAAAUCUUGAGUCAGGUUAGACCAGUCUUAUAUCAAUGACUUGUCUUUAGCAACUGUGUGAACUUGGCUAGUUUAUUAAAUCUCAGAAUUAAACCCACUUGGAGAGGAGGAAUAAUAUGUCCCUUUCAGGAAAAAUGACUUAAUGGACACAUUUCUAAGCAUGUGCAGUUACAAGGCAUCCCAUAAAUGGUGGUAGAGAUACAAAGUGACUCUUAUUAGGUCCUUCUUAAGUACUCGUGUGGAAUGACUACACAAUGAGACACAUAUGAAGGGUUCCAAUGGCACUGUCCUGACAACAGGUUGUGCAAUUUUGAGUGACAGAUAUACAACAAGAAAGGUGUAGGAUGCUAUUGAUGUCAAUAAAGUUGUUUAAAAAAAAUCUAGAUUUAUUUUUAAGUGACAACUCACAGUUGGCAAAUAAUAUAUAUGUUGUAUAUGCAUUUCUUUACUAAGGAGGUCAGUCAUACCAAAUAGAAACUAUAAUAUAAUUAAUAUCAUUUUAAUUUGCUUUGAUUAAAAACCAUUGUUUGGUCACAG
rnacentral:lncRNA from 1 species